AACGAACGCUGGCAGCAGGCUUAACACAUGCAAGUCGAGCGCCCCGCAAGGGGAGCGGCAGACGGGUGAGUAACGCGUGGGAAUCUACCCAUCUCUACGGAAUAACGCAUGGAAACGUGUGCUAAUACCGUAUACGUCCUUCGGGAGAAAGAUUUAUCGGAGAUGGAUGAGCCCGCGUUGGAUUAGCUAGUUGGUGGGGUAAAGGCCUUCCAAGGCGACGAUCCAUAGCUGGUCUGAGAGGAUGGUCAGCCACACUGGGACUGAGACACGGCCCAGACUCCUACGGGAGGCAGCAGUGGGGAAUAUUGGACAAUGGGCGCAAGCCUGAUCCAGCCAUGCCGCGUGAGUGAUGAAGGCCCUAGGGUUGUAAAGCUCUUUCACCGGUGAAGAUAAUGACGGUAACCGGAGAAGAAGCCCCGGCUAACUUCGUGCCAGCCGCCGCCGUAAAAC
rnacentral:rRNA from 1 species